rnacentral:tRNA from 1 species
GGGGCGGUAGCUCAGCUGGUUAGAGCCCCGGGCUCAUAACCUGGUCGUCGUCGGUUCGAGCCCGACCCGCCCCAC